GAACGCUGGCGGCAAGCCUAACACAUGCAAGUCGUGCGGUAACCGAGCGGCGGACGGGUGAGUAAUAUCUGGGAAUCUACCUAUAGGAGGGGGAUAACUAUUGGAAACGAUAGCUAAUACCACAUAAUGUUAUUUAUUUUUAUAACCAAAAAGAGGGGAGUAAAACCUUUUGCCAAUAGAUGAGCCCAGACGAGAUUAGUUAGUAGGUGAGGUAAAAGCUACACCUAGACGAUGAUCUCUAGCUGGUCUGAGAGGAUGACCAGCCACACUGGAACUGAGAUACGGUCCAGACUCCUACGGGAGGCAGCAGUGGGGAAUAUUGCACAAUGAGCGAAAGCUUGAUGCAGCUAUGCCGCGUGUAUGAAGAAGGCCUUAGGGUUGUAAAGUACUUUCAGUAGAAAAGAAUUAAUAAUACCUAAUAUGUAUUAUUAUUGACGUUAUCUACAAAAGAAGCACCGGCUAACUCC
rnacentral:rRNA from 1 species